ACGGAAGCCCGGCAAGGCCAAGGUCGAUCCGGAAGAGAAGGCUCGUUCUCCCGACCCGGGCGCCCAGCACGGUACUCGGCACCCACGCGGAGUCAUAGCCGCGAUAAUGGCAGAAGUGUUGUGGGCCUGCGUAAUUGCGAAUAAGCCGAAAGCAUGAACGGCCCUUUGGGUGGGGUUGAAGCUGGAAGCGUCGCAAGAUCGCCGAGGCCACCCACGCAACCCAGAAAUGCACGCAUGGUAACCGAGUUCCGUGCUAGCGGGCGGCGGACCGAAUCUUUCGGGACGCCGCCCGCUCUGCAUG
rnacentral:ncRNA from 1 species